rnacentral:lncRNA from 1 species
UUUGGAGGGAGGGAGAAAAGUCCUGUUGUGUGGUGGUUCACACGUGUGCCUCCUUUGCUGGGUUAUCUCGCUGUCAACAGGCGGCAGAGGGGCCUACAGAGGCCCCUCCUUCCUCUGGAGCCUCCUUCAGCUUCUCUGUCUCCGGCGCCACGUGUGUGUUUAGCUUUCUGACGAAGGGCCACCAACAUCAAAGGUCCAUCCAGGUUGUCGCAAAUGCAGGAUCUCAUCCUUUUUUACGGCACCAUGGUAGAUUCCGGGAAUGCAGAGGUCAGUGAGCCAAAGCCCCUGUUCAGCACAUGGACUUAGUUUCGGCUGAGGAGUCAGCUUGUGGGCACCUGGAAGUGUGAUGAGGGAAGCACUUGGGAUGGGGCAGCCACAGCAUCCAAGCAGACUGCUUUUGAAAUGAGAUGUGGAAGAACUGACAUGUAAAGAUCUGAGGAUGGAGAGGUCCAGGCAGAAGAACACAGACAUCAGAAUCCUAGAGGAGAACAUAGGCAGUAAUCUCUUCGAUUUCAGCCACAGCAACUUCUUUCAAGAUAUGUCUCCAAAGGCAAAGGAAAC